AUCCGUCGACUUUAGAACUCGUGAGGGUUCAAG
rnacentral:tRNA from 1 species